UACGGAGGAGGCAAGCGUUAUCCGGAAUUAUUGGGCGUAAAGCGUCCGCAGGUGGCACCUCAAGUCUGCUGUCAAAGACCGGGGCUUAACCCCAGAAAGGCAGUGGAAACUGAAGUGCUAGAGUGCAGUAGGGGUAGAGGGAAUUCCCGGUGUAGCGGUGAAAUGCGUAGAGAUCAGGAAGAACACCGGUGGCGAAGGCGCUCUGCUAGGCCGUAACUGACACUGAGGGACGAAAGCUAGGGGAGCGAAUGGG
rnacentral:rRNA from 1 species